rnacentral:rRNA from 1 species
UUAAGCGACUAAGCGUACACGGUGGAUGCCCUGGCAGUCAGAGGCGAUGAAGGACGUGCUAAUCUGCGAUAAGCGUCGGUAAGGUGAUAUGAACCGUUAUAACCGGCGAUUUCCGAAUGGGGAAACCCAGUGUGUUUCGACACACUAUCAUUAACUGAAUCCAUAGGUUAAUGAGGCGAACCGGGGGAACUGAAACAUCUAAGUACCCCGAGGAAAAGAAAUCAACCGAGAUUCCCCCAGUAGCGGCGAGCGAACGGGGAGCAGCCCAGAGCCUGAAUCAGUAUGUGUGUUAGUGGAAGCGUCUGGAAAGGCGCGCGAUACAGGGUGACAGCCCCGUACACAAAAAUGCACAUGCUGUGAGCUCGAUGAGUAGGGCGGGACACGUGGUAUCCUGUCUGAAUAUGGGGGGACCAUCCUCCAAGGCUAAAUACUCCUGACUGACCGAUAGUGAACCAGUACCGUGAGGGAAAGGCGAAAAGAACCCCGGCGAGGGGAGUGAAAAAGAACCUGAAACCGUGUACGUACAAGCAGUGGGAGCACGCUUAGGCGUGUGACUGCGUACCUUUUGUAUAAUGGGUCAGCGACUUAUAUUCUGUAGCAAGGUUAACCGAAUAGGGGAGCCGAAGGGAAACCGAGUCUUAACUGGGCGUUAAGUUGCAGGGUAUAGACCCGAAACCCGGUGAUCUAGCCAUGGGCAGGUUGAAGGUUGGGUAACACUAACUGGAGGACCGAACCGACUAAUGUUGAAAAAUUAGCGGAUGACUUGUGGCUGGGGGUGAAAGGCCAAUCAAACCGGGAGAUAGCUGGUUCUCCCCGAAAGCUAUUUAGGUAGCGCCUCGUGAAUUCAUCUCCGGGGGUAGAGCACUGUUUCGGCAAGGGGGUCAUCCCGACUUACCAACCCGAUGCAAACUGCGAAUACCGGAGAAUGUUAUCACGGGAGACACACGGCGGGUGCUAACGUCCGUCGUGAAGAGGGAAACAACCCAGACCGCCAGCUAAGGUCCCAAAGUCAUGGUUAAGUGGGAAACGAUGUGGGAAGGCCCAGACAGCCAGGAUGUUGGCUUAGAAGCAGCCAUCAUUUAAAGAAAGCGUAAUAGCUCACUGGUCGAGUCGGCCUGCGCGGAAGAUGUAACGGGGCUAAACCAUGCACCGAAGCUGCGGCAGCGACACUGUGUGUUGUUGGGUAGGGGAGCGUUCUGUAAGCCUGUGAAGGUGUACUGUGAGGUAUGCUGGAGGUAUCAGAAGUGCGAAUGCUGACAUAAGUAACGAUAAAGCGGGUGAAAAGCCCGCUCGCCGGAAGACCAAGGGUUCCUGUCCAACGUUAAUCGGGGCAGGGUGAGUCGACCCCUAAGGCGAGGCCGAAAGGCGUAGUCGAUGGGAAACAGGUUAAUAUUCCUGUACUUGGUGUUACUGCGAAGGGGGGACGGAGAAGGCUAUGUUGGCCGGGCGACGGUUGUCCCGGUUUAAGCGUGUAGGCUGGUUUUCCAGGCAAAUCCGGAAAAUCAAGGCUGAGGCGUGAUGACGAGGCACUACGGUGCUGAAGCAACAAAUGCCCUGCUUCCAGGAAAAGCCUCUAAGCAUCAGGUAACAUCAAAUCGUACCCCAAACCGACACAGGUGGUCAGGUAGAGAAUACCAAGGCGCUUGAGAGAACUCGGGUGAAGGAACUAGGCAAAAUGGUGCCGUAACUUCGGGAGAAGGCACGCUGAUAUGUAGGUGAGGUCCCUCGCGGAUGGAGCUGAAAUCAGUCGAAGAUACCAGCUGGCUGCAACUGUUUAUUAAAAACACAGCACUGUGCAAACACGAAAGUGGACGUAUACGGUGUGACGCCUGCCCGGUGCCGGAAGGUUAAUUGAUGGGGUUAGCGCAAGCGAAGCUCUUGAUCGAAGCCCCGGUAAACGGCGGCCGUAACUAUAACGGUCCUAAGGUAGCGAAAUUCCUUGUCGGGUAAGUUCCGACCUGCACGAAUGGCGUAAUGAUGGCCAGGCUGUCUCCACCCGAGACUCAGUGAAAUUGAACUCGCUGUGAAGAUGCAGUGUACCCGCGGCAAGACGGAAAGACCCCGUGAACCUUUACUAUAGCUUGACACUGAACAUUGAGCCUUGAUGUGUAGGAUAGGUGGGAGGCUUUGAAGUGUGGACGCCAGUCUGCAUGGAGCCGACCUUGAAAUACCACCCUUUAAUGUUUGAUGUUCUAACGUUGACCCGUAAUCCGGGUUGCGGACAGUGUCUGGUGGGUAGUUUGACUGGGGCGGUCUCCUCCUAAAGAGUAACGGAGGAGCACGAAGGUUGGCUAAUCCUGGUCGGACAUCAGGAGGUUAGUGCAAUGGCAUAAGCCAGCUUGACUGCGAGCGUGACGGCGCGAGCAGGUGCGAAAGCAGGUCAUAGUGAUCCGGUGGUUCUGAAUGGAAGGGCCAUCGCUCAACGGAUAAAAGGUACUCCGGGGAUAACAGGCUGAUACCGCCCAAGAGUUCAUAUCGACGGCGGUGUUUGGCACCUCGAUGUCGGCUCAUCACAUCCUGGGGCUGAAGUAGGUCCCAAGGGUAUGGCUGUUCGCCAUUUAAAGUGGUACGCGAGCUGGGUUUAGAACGUCGUGAGACAGUUCGGUCCCUAUCUGCCGUGGGCGCUGGAGAACUGAGGGGGGCUGCUCCUAGUACGAGAGGACCGGAGUGGACGCAUCACUGGUGUUCGGGUUGUCAUGCCAAUGGCACUGCCCGGUAGCUAAAUGCGGAAGAGAUAAGUGCUGAAAGCAUCUAAGCACGAAACUUGCCCCGAGAUGAGUUCUCCCUGACUCCUUGAGAGUCCUGAAGGAACGUUGAAGACGACGACGUUGAUAGGCCGGGUGUGUAAGCGCAGCGAUGCGUUGAGCUAACCGGUACUAAUGAACCGUGAGGCUUAACCUU